GGAUUGUGGCUCAAUGGUAAAGCACUUUCCUGGCACAUGUGAGGCACUGGGUUCAAUUCUCAGCACCA
rnacentral:tRNA from 1 species